GCUGGCGGCGUGCCUAACACAUGCAAGUCGAGCGGGGACUGUACGACGGAUUUGAAGAUUCGGUUGGAUAUGAAGAUGUACAGUUCUAGCGGCGGACGGGUGAGUAACGCGUGAGCAACCUGUCCCUUACAGGGGGAUAACACAGCGAAAGUUGUACUAAUACCGCAUGAGACCACGAUAUCACAUGGGUAUAGGGGGUCAAAGGAGCAAUCCGGUAAGGGGUGGGCUCGCGUCCGAUUAGAUAGUUGGUGAGGUAACGGCCCACCAAGUCGACGAUCGGUAGCCGACCUGAGAGGGUGAUCGGCCACAUUGGGACUGAGACACGGCCCAAACUCCUACGGGAGGCAGCAGUGGGGAAUAUUGGGCAAUGGGGGGAACCCUGACCCAGCAACGCCGCGUGAGGGAAGAAGGUUUUCGGAUCGUAAACCUCUGUCCUAUGUGAAGAGGAAGAGACGGUAGCAUAGGAGGAAGCCCCGGCUAACUACGUGCCAGCCGCCGC
rnacentral:rRNA from 1 species